AAAAGUAAAAAACUUAAAUGGAUUCGUGAGAAACGAAUCAUUUUUGUCGACUCGUGAAAGUCGCGAUUUUACAGGAAUUAAUGCAGAUCAAUUGACUGGGAGUUUUAUUCAAUGCCCUUUAUCGGAUAAAACGUUCUAAAGUUUGAAUUUGUUCGCGCGUUUUGUAAGUAAGUCGAUUAUAAAACUGCAAAGCGCUCAAUUUUCCCCUUAUUUUAAGGUCGUUCUUAGUUCUAAUGCAUCAAUCUAUUUUAAGAUUAACCGGGAUUAACUUUCUGUCGGCUGUUGGAAUCACUAAACUGUUACAACGUCUGGUAGAGGGCUCACUGUUUUUCAGAUGUCACUUUUAGAAAACUUAACACUCCAUCGCCAUUCACCAAUCCAUCUGUUGCUUCCAUCUUUACAAACCUGUGCUGUGCAAUUGACAUCUUAUCAGCACUCAACAAACGAAAUCCAAAUUGGCAAAUUGACAUUGAAGAAGUAUUACGACGUUGAGAAUAUGUGGUAAACUUUUCAAUUCAAACCUGUUGAACUGAAAAUAGCUACUGAUCUAUAUCCUAUUGAAAAUUGAAAAUAAAACCACUUUUGGUUCGUUUCUUAUGCAGAAAAAAAAGAAAAUAACUACUGAGGGUUGACAACUUCUUUUCCGCUCGGGAAUGGAAGCCUGCUGGGAAAGGAUAGCCCUUGAUACCUGUUUAGGAGCCUUGGAAGGUAAAUAAAAAUUCCCGGGCGACUCUCAUGGACGAUCUUCUUGUACUUUUUUAGGUUUCUGGGAUGACGCUAGUGCACAGAAAUGUCUCCUUAAAGAUUCCGGAUGUUGCCAGCCCUUUCGUGAUCGUGUUGUCCAUUCAUGAUGCCAGUCCCGGUCUACCUCCAAGAUGAAAUUUCUAUGGUGUCCGACAGAUGACAGAUUCAACACGAGCAACGAAAAACAGUAUUUUCUCAUGGACUUUCACACUGCGAGAUAAGGACCAGUUUUGCCAAGUUUGUUUUGCCAAUAUUCGAAGCCUUCGUCAAAAGAUAUCCGGCUACAGACGUGGUCGAACUGUGGCGUCUUUGACGGAUGUUUCCGCCCAAUCCCGAUUCGUAGUUUCAGAAUAAUACGACACGAAUGACCUUAAUUUGGAGUACGUCAGUCAUCUGCUUGGAUAUUGGAAGCAGAAUGAUUGUACUCAAGCAACAGGAGAAAGCGUUUGUGGAGCAAACAAACUGCUUUUUAUAAUUAGUCGUGGCUAUCUUAACAGCCAAUAUCAGGUGGUUCUUACAACCCAACUGGUGUGCUCGCAGCGAACGAGUGACCAGCACAGCCACCGUCAACCCAAACAUCAAGUCUACCUUUCAUCGAUGAUGGCUGACUCCCAGAAUUUCAUACUUUCCAUGUUCAUCUCCGCUGUUGGAAUCAUUCAACUGCUACAACCUCUGGUAGAGGGCUUACUGUUUUUCAGAUGUCACACGUCACUUUCGGAAGAAAACUUGACAAUCCGUUCGCCAAUCGAUCUGUUACUUCCACCUUUGUGAGACCCUUGCUGUGCAAUUGACAUCUUAUCAGCACUUAACAAACGAAAUCCAAAUUGGCAAAUUGACAUUGAAGAAGUAUAACGACGUUGAGAAUAUGUGAAAAAAAGAAAAUAACGACGAAGGUUGACGACUUCUUUUCCGCUUGGGAAUGGAAGCCUGCUGGGAAAGGAAAGCCCCUUGAUACCUGAAUAGACACUUUUGGUUCCCGGGCGACUCUCAUGAACGAUCUUCUUGUACUUUUUUAGGUUUCUGGGAUGACGCAAAUGCACAGAAAUGCUUCCUUAAAGAUUCCGGAGGUUGCCAGCCCUUUCGUGAUCGUGUUGUCCAUUUAUGAUGCAGUCCCGAUCUACGGCCAAGAUGAAAUUUCGAUUGUGUCCGACAGAUGACAGAAUUCUUAGAUUCAACACGAUCAACGACAAGCAGUAUCUUCUUAUGAACUCUCACACUACGAGGAAAGAACCAGUUUUGCCAAUGUCGGACCAUGGAAGCCUCCGUCAAAGACAUCCGGCUACAGACAUGGCCGAACUGUGGCGCCUUUAACGGAUGUCUCCGCCCAACCCCUUUAACUUCAUCGAUGAUGGCUGACUCCAAGAUUUCUUAAUUUUCAAGUUCGUCUCCGGACUUUGCCAUUCCAGUGACGGCCAUCUGUCCGCUACAUUCUAACCUUCCCAGCGUGUAUUGGCCGGAAGAACCCUCCAAUAUGGUACGACCGAAGUUCAAACGUGUGAUUGGCAAUACAUUCUUGUCGCUGAUGACUCCUUCAAGAUAGAAGUGUAGGUAAACUGGAAUCGCAGUUACACGUCACGGAAGGUGAUUCAACACAAUUUCCAUCCAAUCCGCACUGGCAGACGUGGACACUGGAAUUACUUCCCGACCAAAAGUA